rnacentral:ncRNA from 13 species
AUGCAUUCCAAGCUUAUGAGUUAACGUAAGUCAAGCUCAUGUAAAAUCUGCCUAAAACGGGAAACUCUCACUGAGACAAUCCGUUGCUAAAUCAGCAGUAGCUGUAAAUGCCCAACGACUAUCCCUGAUGAAUGUAAGGGAGUAGGGUCAAGCGACCCGAAACGGCAGACAACUCUAAGAGUUGAAGAUAUAGUCUGAACUGCAUGGUGACAUGCAGCUGUUUAUCCUCGUAUAAAUAUGAAUACGAGGUGAAACGAUGAAAUGGAAAUUAAGAAAAAGCUUAAAAAUUGCCAAUUCUGUAGCAUUUACCUAUAUGGUAAGAUUUCCUGAUAAGUCUUUUUAUAUAGGUUUUAAAAAAUUCAAAACUAUAUAUGGUAAAGAUACAAAUUGGAAAGAAUACAAUUCGUCAUCUAAGCUUGUUAAAGAAAAGCUUAAAGAUUAUAAAGCUAAGUGGAUAAUUCUUCAAGUUUUUGAUUCUUAUGAAUCGGCCCUUAAAGAUGAAGAAAUGCUUAUUAGGAAAUAUUUUAAUAACGAAUUUAUUCUUAAUAAAUCUAUAGGUGGAUAUAAAUUUAACAAAUAUCCGGAUUCAGAAGAACAUAAGCAAAAACUUAGUAAUGCCCAUAAAGGUAAAAUCUUAUCUUUAAAACAUAAAGAUAAGAUACGAGAGAAAUUGAUUGAGCAUUAUAAAAAUAAUAGUAGAAGUGAAGCUCAUGUUAAAAAUAAUAUUGGUAGUAGAACGGCUAAAAAGACUGUUUCUAUAGCUUUAAAAUCCGGAAAUAAAUUUAGAAGUUUUAAAUCAGCUGCAAAAUUUCUUAAAUGCUCUGAAGAACAGGUUAGUAAUCAUCCAAAUGUUAUAGAUAUAAAAAUAACAAUUCAUCCCGUCCCAGAAUAUGUUAAAAUAAAUGACAAUAUCUAUAAAUCAUUUGUGGAUGCUGCUAAAGAUUUAAAACUCCACCCAAGUCGUAUUAAAGAUUUGUGUUUAGAUGACAAUUAUCCAAAUUACAUUGUUUCAUAUAAACGGGUAGAGAAGUAGCGAACUCUACUGAACACAUUGAUGA